rnacentral:ncRNA from 1 species
AUAAGAACCCACGGGAGCUUGAGAAGUCAGGCUGAGAUUGUGACCGUCAUUGUCACUAACCGUUUAUCUGAUCUGGGUAAUGCCAGCGUAGAGAUCUCAUAUAAAUGCACAU